CCUCUGCACUCAUUCCACCACCAGAGGCCAAACCACCGGGACUAUCCAAUCUGGAGUUGCACUUCCAAUGCUGUGAACCAGAUACACUUUUCCUCCCUAAAAAAUUAGUUUCCUCUGGUAUUUUGUUGUGGCAACAAAAAGCUAAUACAACUGUUUCAGAAGGGAACCCAGGGUCCUCUAUGUUUUUCCAGGAAGGAGUAGGCCACACCAAGCAAGCUACACAUGGGCCGUUAGCCUGUAACCCGAUGGGGAUAUGUCACUCAACCAGGAAUGGAUCUCGAGAGCAGGACAGGUGCUGAGACAGACAGGCCUCUCAAACAUGUCUAUGGACCUGCAUUAGGGAUCUCUGCCCCAGAGGAAGAGAUAAGCAAGCACCAAUGGCCCUGGGACUUUGUGAAGCCUCCUAAUCUUGGAGGCUCCAGGAGGAGAUGUGCAUAAAUCAGCUUCCCAUCAUUACAACAUGGUACCAGAGACAAGGAGUACAAAAUGUUCUCGAUCAAACCCACCUACUUCCAGGAAAAAAACAUUCAACUGGAGCGAUCAAUCUAUUGCCCAAGUCUUCGCCCUCUCCGGGUAUGCUGCGGGAUCAAAUUCUCUGCAUUCUCUGAAAAAUCCCCAGCAUCACAGCCAGUAGUGCCCCACUUCGAGGAUCAGCACAACCUUUUAGGUGGAAAAGGCCCUUCAGCUGAGCCCAGAGCAAUGCAGCAGGAAUUAGCCAGGGUGGCAUCCAGGCAGCAGGUGAGACUCAGGAGUGGAGGAGAUGGCCAGGAGAAGGGCUGCCUAGC